rnacentral:rRNA from 1 species
AUCCUGGCUCAGAUUGAACGCUGGCGGCAUGCCUUACACAUGCAAGUCGAACGGUAACAGGUCUUUCGGGAUGCUGACGAGUGGCGAACGGGUGAGUAAUACAUCGGAACGUGCCUAGUAGUGGGGGAUAACUACUCGAAAGAGUGGCUAAUACCGCAUGAGAUCUAUGGAUGAAAGCAGGGGACCUUCGGGCCUUGUGCUACUAGAGCGGCCGAUGGCAGAUUAGGUAGUUGGUGGGAUAAAAGCUUACCAAGCCUACGAUCUGUAGCUGGUCUGAGAGGACGAUCAGCCACACUGGGACUGAGACACGGCCCAGACUCCUACGGGAGGCAGCAGUGGGGAAUUUUGGACAAUGGGCGCAAGCCUGAUCCAGCAAUGCCGCGUGCAGGAUGAAGGCCUUCGGGUUGUAAACUGCUUUUGUACGGAACGAAAAGUCUUGGGUUAAUACCCUGGGAUCAUGACGGUACCGUAAGAAUAAGCACCGGCUAACUACGUG